UACGUAUGGUGCAAGCGUUAUCCGGAUUUACUGGGUGUAAAGGGUGCGUAGGUGGUAUGGCAAGUCAGAAGUGAAAACUUUGGGCUCAACCCGGAGACUGCUUUUGAAACUGUCAUACUGGAGUGCAGGAGAGGAAAGCGGGAUUCCUAGUGUAGCGGUGAAAUGCGUAGAUAUUAGGAGGAACACCAGUGGCGAAGGCGGUUUUCUGGACUGUUACUGACACUGAGGCACGAAAGCGUGGGGAGCAAAC
rnacentral:rRNA from 1 species